rnacentral:rRNA from 1 species
AAUCUUUCGCAAUGGAGGGAACUCUGACGCAGCGACGCCGCGUGAGUGAUGAAGGUCUUCGGAUCGUAAAGCACUGUCCUUGGGGAAGAAGAUCGCCUUGUAGGCGAUUUGACGGUACCCAGGGAGGAAGCCCCGGCCAACUACGUGCCAGCAGCCGCGGUAAUACGUAGGGUGCAAGCGUUGUCCGGAAUUAUUGGGCGUAAAGGGCGCGCAGGCGGUUUUUUAAGUCUGAUGUGAAAUCUCGCAGCUUAACUGCGAGCGGUCAUUGGAAACUGGAAAGCUUGAGUACAGAAGAGGAGAGUGGAAUUCCACGUGUAGCGGUGAAAUGCGUAGAGAUGUGGAGGAACACCAGUGGCGAAGGCGACUCUCUGGUCUGUAACUGACGCUGAGGCGCGAAAGCGUGGGUAGCGAACA